CUUAAAUGAAUUGACGGGGCCCGCACAAGCAGCGAGCGUGUGGUUUAAUUCGUUGCUACACGAAGAACCUUACCUGGGUUUGACAUAUAGGUUGUAGGGAACUGAAAGGGACCGACCUUCGGGAGCCUAUACAGGUGUUGCAUGGCUGUCGUCAGCUCGUGUCGUGAGAUGUUCGGUUAAGUCCGCUAACGAGCGCAACCCUCGUCGUAUGUUAUAUGUGUCAUACGAGACUGCCGGUAAAAGCCGGAGGAAGGUGAGGAUGAUGUCAAGUCAGCAUGACCUUUAUAUCCAGGGCUACACACACGCUACAAUGGUCUGUACAAUGGGUAGCCAAGCCGCGAGGCGGAGCCAAUCCUGAAAGCAGGCCUCAGUUCAGAUUGCAGUCUGCAACUCGACUGCAUGAAGCCGGAGUUGCUAGUAACCGCAGGUCAGCAAUACUGCGGUGAAUACGUUCCCGGGUCUU
rnacentral:rRNA from 1 species